AUUAGUUUUAAUUACUGAUAAAACUAAAAAGUAAAUAAAGGCCCAAUGCUUAGAUUACUAUUGCCUCUUCAAAGCCUUCAUCACCAAGCUCAAAACUAGAACCACUACCAACCUGCCUCCAAGGACCAAAUAGAAAUCCAAAAAACUAAAAGAUACCUAAGACACAUAAAAGGAGACAAAACCACACCUUAUAUCAAGAUAAAACACACUCCAAAAUUACACCUACACUCCCAAACCAAAAAAGAAGACAAUCUCAAAGAAAAAAUUCAGAAACACCAACACAACAGCACCACAUCUAGAAACAACUCCUGCAAAUAACAAACACACCAAAGACUGAGUAACCUCUAUCGUCACUAACAUCAAAACAACAACAGCAGCAUAAUCCCCAAAUCAGACGAUUUUAAUCAAUCUGAUAUAAACAAAAAUAACAAAAGAAGUGUUGUUGAUUGAGCAAGACUGAGUAACCUAACCUCUCAUGAUAAGAUGGAGGUUCAACUGCGAUGAACGAUGGCGGAACGAUGAAGAGUUUCUGGGUAAACGACUUCUGAAACGAUGGACAAUGAUGAACGAUUGGGAAAGAUGGUUUUAGGGUUUCAGCGAGUUCUCAAGGUUCAAUUGAUUUUUAUUUAAGGGUUUCAAUGGGAAUCUGGGUUCAAUCAAUUGACAUUCUACGGGGUUUAGGGUUUCAGUGAGUUUCUGGGUGAGAAGAAGGUCGAAGAAGAAGGGUUCUGGAUGGAGUGAGAGUGACGAAGGUUUAAAGAAGGUUGAGGGUUUCUAGGUGAAGUGAGAUUGAAGAAGAACGAAGGUGAGUGGGUAAUUUGUAGAAUCGAGUGAGGUGAAUGUUUCUGGGUGGUUUGAAGGUCGUUGGGUUUGAGUGAGAUGAACAAAGAGAACAGAAUUGGAACAAGGAAACCCUGAGUAGAGGAUGCGGUCAAUGGAAACUAUAAGUUUUUUUUUUCUAAAAAAUUGAUACAUGUUUUUUUUAUUAUUCAGCAAGGGUCGAAGGUUCGAUACUCGCCCACCACAGAUUUUAAUUAAUUUAUUUUUCUUACUAUAGCGCUCAUGUAAAACCCGCU
rnacentral:lncRNA from 1 species